GGGCCGCUAGCUCAACGGGUAGAGCAGCAGACUCUUAAUCUGCGGGUUCGGGGUUCGAGUCCCUGGCGGCUCACCA
rnacentral:tRNA from 1 species